rnacentral:rRNA from 1 species
GGCGGACGGGUGAGUAAUGUCUGGGAAACUGCCUGAUGGAGGGGGAUAACUACUGGAAACGGUAGCUAAUACCGCAUAACGUCGCAAGACCAAAGAGGGGGACCUUCGGGCCUCUUGCCAUCAGAUGUGCCCAGAUGGGAUUAGCUAGUAGGUGGGGUAACGGCUCACCUAGGCGACGAUCCCUAGCUGGUCUGAGAGGGUGACCAGCCACACUGGAACUGAGACACGGUCCAGACUCCUACGGGAGGCAGCAUG